rnacentral:lncRNA from 1 species
AUGGGCCUUACAUACGGCAGGGGCUCGGUAUGUAAAUCCUUUGUCCCUUCCUUGUUCCAGGAACCUCUAGGCCAAGCGCUCAGGGACCUCUUUCUGCAGAAGGAUGGCCUGCGGUCAGCGACGACUCAACUCUCUCGGAGGCUCCCUCGAGCGGGAGGAGCGAGCUUACGGCCUGCUCGAGGCUCCUGCCCCUGCCUAUUGCUCUGGACCUCCACGUGGCCGGUUCGCGCAGCCCUCUGUCUUCUCGCCCCCGCAUUCCAGCGUUUCGCUGCCCCCCGGCCGGACCUGAAUGGGCUCUGCCCACUCAGGAGGGGCAUUCAUCUCACCCAGCCCGGCAGGUGUGGCCCGCCAGACAAGUUGAUCGUCCCCUUCUCCCACCACUCUGGGAGGCCUCUGGAGGUCUUGGCAUGGUGGGGGGUCGUUAACUUAUAGUUGCAGAUGGAGGUAGAAAUUUGGUCUAGGCUGGAGGGGAGCAGAAGACGCUGGGAGAGAUGGGAUGGAUGCUGCAGGGCAAGGAAGUCUUCCCCAUCUCUGUCCUCGGUUGACCCAGAGUUCAGAGUCUCUUCCUGUCCCCUCCCCUCAAAACCACUAGGCCCCUGAAGAUUACCCCGCAGGGAAGAAACAGGUGGGGAGGUGCUUUGAAGCCUGAGACCCCGCUUUUCUGCCUUACCCACGCUCCCACCCCAAGCCACAACAAAGACCCACGAAUCCUGCCACCCAGCCACAAGGCUUCUCCUUCCUCCUCUGGGCCUGCUGUCCCCUGGGGUCUGGUGGGGCCAUUGUGAGGAUGACAGCUGCAGGGCGGGAGCUCAGAUGUCUGCCCACACCAGGACUCUUCCUGGGGGGUGGGGACCUUUCCUACACCCCAGUCUCCUGGGGUGUCUGCAAGGUUCCCACCCCCGCUACCCCACAUCCCGGGACACAGUGUACCUGGAGUGUGCCAGGGCAGGCGGGGAGGGGCUCCAUCCUCUGCCAAGUUCCAGGAAAUGCCCUGGCAGGCAGCACAGUCCUGGGCUCCAGGGCCUUCCAAGGUGGGGCGGGGUCCUAGGCUGCUGACAUGCCUCACCUGGGCCUCAACCCCUACUUCCCAGGCAUCUCGGGCACCUUCUGUAGCCAAGGUUGAGGCGAUGGAUGCCAACCAUUUUCCCACACAUACAGGCAUCCUUCCCACACAUGUGCUUACCCAGCCAACGCUCACCAAAUCCCUCAGUCAGGAGCCACUUUCACUGUGUCGACUCCAGCCUUUUACCUGAUGGAUGAAAUCUUUCCACAGUAUCCCAGGCCAAUGUUCUGAAGCUGUUUGCAUACCCACAGUGAUGAGGACACUCUUUUAUGAGGCAGCCACAACUCUUCAGGAUGUCCCUGUGUCCAAGUCCAAUCGCCUAGAGGAUACCUGCCCUCACAUGGCCCAGGAGGGACGGAACUCACCCUCAGGUCCCUCACACUUGCUCCUCCUCCUUGCCUGCAGUGACCUUCCUACUGCCCAAACUCACCAUAAAGCAGGAUGAAUUCCUAACUCUUGGGGCUUCCCUGGUGGACCGGUGGUUACGAAUCUGCCUUGCCAUGCAAGGGAUGCCGGUUCGACCCCUGGUCUGGAAAGAUCCCACAUGCCUUGGAGCAACAAAGUCUGUGUACCACGACUGCUGACCCCACACUUAAGAGCCCUUGAGCCACAACUACUAAAGCCGGGGCACCCAGAGCCCAUGUGCUCUAUAGCAAGAGAAGCCACUGCAAUGAGAAACCCGUGCACUGCAACUAGAGAGCAGCCCCCACUGGCUGCAUCCAGAGAAAGCCUGUGUUCAGCAAUGAGGACCCAGUGCAGCCAAAAAUAAAAAUCGGAAAAAAAAAUUAACUUAAAAAAUUCUCAACCGUUUUCUCUCCUUCACCAUCUAUCACCAGAUUCUUCCCACUCCUGCUUUUAUCACAAGGUGUAUUGUUUGUUACUUUCCUCACGCCUUCCUUUCCAAUACCACAGAUUCCACCUUUGGCCCAAAUUCCCACAGUCACUGCCACACUGUCCUUUCUGACCCAGGUUUUUCCUUCCUCCUACACACCCUGCUAGAAUAAUCUUUCUCAACCACUGUUUAUUGUGUAUGUUAUCAACUUCACUCUUCAAGCACACUGGGUACAGCAGCUACUAAUCUGUGUGUUCCAUACGAAGGGGCCCACACUCAUUCAUGGCGUACCCAAACCACAGAAUCCAGCACAAGCCCUGGUGCAUGGUAGGAAGGCAUCCAGUGUUCCUCGAGUGUCCAGUCCAUUGGGUUGUGCCUCUUUUCUCCUCACAGUUCUCUUUCCUGGCUUGGUCUCCUUGUCAGCAUCAAGCCUGUUGGUUUCCUGAUACUCAUGCAGGCCCUUUUGUUUUGAGCAGCCCUGGUUUUUAAAUUUCCCAGAAUCUUCGGGGUAGAGGUGGGGAAUGAGGAGAGAGAAUCUGACACUCAGUCCUGUCUGACUCUUUUCGACCCCAUGAACUACCAGGCUCCUCCAUCCAUGGAGUUUUCCAGGCAAGAACAUUGGAGUGAGUUGCCAUUUGCUUCUCCAGGGGAUCUUCCCCACCCAGGGAUCAAACCCGGGUCUCCCACACUGUAGGCAGGCGCUUUACCGUCUGAGCUACCAAGGUUGUGCCAAAUACCAACUCUAAAGUACUAGAGUGCUGAAUGGAAUAAGUCUAGCUGCCUGCCUGGAGCCUGUGCUCCAGCAAGGAACAGAAAACCACUGAGGAGGGUGGAGGGCAGAAAAGAGUGCAAGCAGUGGCUUUGGGGUUUACAGAGGGAUCUUGCCAUUGGAGAUCCCAGCCUGCCUAGCUCUGGGUUGCUGGUCUGAUGCCCUUAAGUUGUUCUCUUUCUUGGCACCACAUCACACACACACACACACACACACAGACCCAGUGAGCUUGAUCCCAUCACCACCUCAUAACCCAGCUCAAAGGCUCUGAUAAUCUCCACCCCGCUUGGAUCAUUUUGUCAUCAACUUCCCUCUAAGCCUUAUGGGUGGCCUUUAAUCUUUCCUAGAUUUUAUUGCUUCAUUAUGUCCUGUAAUAUUUUCAGCUUCAAAUAUUAUAAGCUCCUUCACGGCAGAGACAGGGUUUAUUUAUUUACUUGUUUAAUAUCAUCUGUCUUGAAAAGAAAGACUAAGUAAGAUUGGGCUCUUGGAUUUUGAAGGCCACAAGGACCUAGGUGCAACACUUAGCUGUAUGGCCUUGGGCAAGCCUCUUCACCUUUCUGAGCCUGCUUCAUCUGUAAAAGGUGAGAGAGGCAAAGAUUACAGAGAACAUAGUGCUGGCUGCAAAGCGAGCAGACAGCAGCCCUGCUCUGCGGGAGCUUUUCUUGAAUUGGGGGAUGCGGUACCUUAACUACUGUCCUCCAACCCCCAACUAAGACAUUUCUAAGCGAUUAGAAGGGACAGUUAACACCAGUUCCACGGAGGUAACCCAGGAUGCAUAGCCACUCUACCCUGACUCAAAAUAAUCAGCGAGGGCAGGGUUCGGAUCCAGCGCCGCCGGAACGCAGUGCCUAAGCCUGAUGCCAAGCACGGUUCAAGCUCAACGAACGUCUGUCGAAUGAACCGCACCUGUCCGGCCCUCAGCUUUUUGGAGCACCAGCGAGCGAAAAGCAAAGAUUGAAAAGGCCGCCCACGCCGCCUCCCCACCCCAACGCACCCCCCACCCCCGGGUCCCAGUGUCUCUAGCAACCAUGUUUCGCUAAGGUCUCUCCUUCCCCAGCCUGCGUCUCCGCCCCUGGUUGCCUUGGAAACAGUGACGUGUACGCGAAGGGCGUGACCUCUCUCCAUCCUCUCCCGGAGAGCCGGGGGCCCCCUUCUCAUCCCAACCAGGGAGAGGAUGAGGUUGGGGUCCUCGACCUUGCUGACCCUACGUCUGGUCUGGCGCGGACGCUAACUCCGCCCAGCUGGCUGCCCUCCUCGGUCGCGGGACUCGCCGGAUUUGCGGGCACCCCCACCCCCAGCCCACCUGGCACCAGUGGUGAGCUGGUCUGGGGGGUCCGGAGAAGGCUGGCUUCAGGCCCUAGGAUCUCUCUUCAUCCCGUCCCCUCCCCCCCCCCCCCGGCCCCGGGGGCC